AUAAUAUAAUAUAAUAUAAUAUAAUAAUAUAAUAUAAUAUAAUAUAAAAGUCUAGAGUAUAAUCAUCCAGAGUAUAAUCACCUAUAGUAUAAUCAUUAAUAAUAUAAUCCGAGAAGUUGAAUAAUAUUAUAUAGGUGAAAUAAUCUGGCUCCACUAAACUUGCCAACAAGGUUCUCUGGCCCUUGUGUAGGCAGUGCUCUUUGGUCCCAGGAGCUCCCUGGCCCAAUGUGAAUCCAGAGGAAGACUCUGAAGCUUUAGGAUGCCUCUAGACCACAUCCCCCCAGGAGAUGAGGUCAGAAAUAGAGCACAUGGCUGAGAAGGUUAUGGUUCAACCCAGAACUUCAAAGACUGUCAAAAGUGAACAAACCCUGGGGAAGGGCACUGCCUUGAACAACUGCCUCUUUGGACCCAAAAAGUGCCCUGGUGUAGACAGAGGUCCCAGGGGAGCAGGACACUGACUGUGCCUUCUUGUGUUAACAGCAGAGACCAUAAGGAACUUAGAUUAUGUCUCCGUCUCUCCAGGGAACACCGUGUAUGCUUGUGUCACUCUUCCAAACAAGCAAACAAAUAUCCCAACACCUGUGAAAAGCAGUGAUUUCUCCACCAUUUACUCCACAGUUCAUCAGUCCAAAGAGAGUAAACCUAUUUCUUCCAGGACAACUGCCCUUGACAACGUCAUCUAAAUUGCUGAGAGGUCUCAAAAGGAGCUCAGGAAUGACACAGCUUCUCCUGAUCCCAUGGGAGAGAACCCAGCUUGGUUUCUGCCUGGCAACAGAAUUUGAAUCUUUAGGCUUAUUACUUGCAGUUCUUCAGACUAGAACCUGCUUCAGUACGUCAAACGUCUAAGGAAUAACAUCAUUUCCAGCGUGUGAACCAAAUAACAUUUUCUAAUCCGCUCCAGGCCAAAAAAUGCUUCUGUGAACAAGCCUGGACGUUGACUUUCUCUUUGGCAACCGAUGGAGUUUUGUGCUUGACAGAGAAUUAUAAUUCAGAAGACAACCACUCCUCUCCUUCUAGAAAGCAGCCCGAUUGUGAUUCACUGGGAGAGAGAACAGUGUAUUUGUUAUGUGUGAUGUCUCUGGAAUUGCAUGGGCCUUGUCCCAAAUCCUCGCACAUCAUUGACCCGACAUAUCUCCUGGGACGUGUUCUGAAACUCUUGAGCUCUGGUCUCCUAGACUGAAAAAUGGGGAUCAGCCUGUUACUCAAACCAGGAACCGGAGUUAACCUUGACUUCAGCUGUUCUACCACCAGCCCCUUUGGACUCUACCUCUGAAUACGUAUUGUAGACCGACCCACUUCUCACCAGUCCUUUAACCUCCGCCCUAUAUUAACCCAUCAUCAUCUCCAACCUGGAAUAUGACAGUAAGCUCCAAACAAAUUUCCCCGAUUUUUGCUCUUAUCUCCCUCCAAUCCAUUCUCUACAAGACAGGGGGAGUAAUAUUUUUAAUAUAAAUCAGAUCCUUCACUUGUCUGUUUUAAAUCGACCCUGCAAGACUUCCCAGGCACUCGGAAAGAAACUGAGUCUCUGUGGCUCUGGAUGGCCUGGGCCAUCUGCAACCUCAGCCAUCAGGUCUCCUUCCGCCCCCUCUCUGAUUUGGCUUCUCUGAUUCUCUUUCAGCCCCUCCAUCAGAAGAGAGAGUUUACCCAACAUGUGCCUGGGGACCCUUCUCUGCCAGUCUGGUUCCUCCUUACAGGUCCCACUGCAUAUAUGUCCCCCUCCAAGAACAACCUUCAGACCCCUGUACCAAACGCUAACCCUAACCUUAACCCCCGUUAUUCUGUCGCAUCUUCCAUGUCAUUUAUCACGUCAUUAAAUAUUUAUUUGUAUUUAAUGUCUGUUUCUCCCUACUCUACUGUAUGCUCUCCAGGAACGGGGACCACGAUGAUGUUAUCUCUGUAUCCGGAAGCACCCAGCACAGUGUCUAGCACAUAGAAAAUGUUCAACAAAUACUUUUUAAUAAAUAAAUGAAUAUGCGAUGGAGUUUUGUGAGAAUUAAAGACGAUGUGCCUACAGCCCUUUGUGUGGUGCCUCACACGAAAGAGCUCAAGAAAUAGACAGGCUAAGUGCUGAGUCACCAGGCCAUCGUCCCCAGAGCAGUUCGAGGACGUGCCAGGAUAACGCGUGUGAGCUCCAUUACUCUCCUUGCCUGCUGAAGGAGCCAUCCGGGGGUUAUGGGCUUUCUCCCAGUCCUGCAGAGCCAAGCCAGCUGCUGGCAUCCGUGCUGGCUGCUGCGAGCCGUGUG